rnacentral:rRNA from 1 species
GACGAAGGGGGCUAGCGUUGUUCGGAAUUACUGGGCGUAAAGGGCUCGUAGGCGGCCAACUAAGUCGGAUGUGAAAUCCCCAGGCUUAACCUGGGAACUGCAUCCGAUACUGGAUGGCUUGAAUCCGGGAGAGGGAUGCAGAAUUCCAGGUGUAGCGGUGAAAUGACGUAGAUAUCUGGAGGAAUACCGGUGGCGAAGGCGGCAUCCUGGACCGGCAUUGACGCUGAGGUGCGAAAGCGUGGGUAGCAAACAGGA